GCUCAGGAUGAACGCUGGCGGCGUGCCUAAUACAUGCAGUCGAGCGAAUGGAUUGAGAGCUUGCUCUCAAGAAGUUAGCGGCGGACGGGUGAGUAACACGUGGGUAACCUGCCCAUAAGACUGGGAUAACUCCGGGAAACCGGGGCUAAUACCGGAUAACAUUUUGAACYGCAUGGUUCGAAAUUGAAAGGCGGCUUCGGCUGUCACUUAUGGAUGGACCCGCGUCGCAUUAGCUAGUUGGUGAGGUAACGGCUCACCAAGGCAACGAUGCGUAGCCGACCUGAGAGGGUGAUCGGCCACACUGGGACUGAGACACGGCCCAGACUCCUACGGGAGGCAGCAGUAGGGAAUCUUCCGCAAUGGACGAAAGUCUGACGGAGCAACGCCGCGUGAGUGAUGAAGGCUUUCGGGUCGUAAAACUCUGUUGUUAGGGAAGAACAAGUGCUAGUUGAAUAAGCUGGCACCUUGACGGUACCUAACCAGAAAGCCACGGCUAACUACGUGCCAGCAGCCGCGGUAAUAC
rnacentral:rRNA from 1 species